GCGAUAACGAACGAGACCUCGACCUGCUAAAUACUUUGGUUCCAUAACUUCUUAGAGGGACUAUCGGUGCGUAGCCGACGGAAGUUCGAGGCAAUAACAGGUCUGUGAUGCCCUUAGAUGUUCUGGGCCGCACGCCCGCUACACUGAUGCGAUCAUCGAGCUUACAACCUUGAUUGAGAGGUCUGGGUAAUCUUUUCAAAACGCAUCGUGCUGGGGAUAGAUUAUUGUAACUUUUAAUCUUAAACGAGGAAUUCCUAGUAAACGCACGUCAUCAGCGUGCAUUGAUUACGUCCCUGGCAUUGCCCUUUGUACACACCGCCCGUCGCUAGUACCGAUUGAAUGGAUC
rnacentral:rRNA from 1 species